UCUCGAAAGCGGCACAUGCCAUCC
rnacentral:miRNA from 1 species